rnacentral:rRNA from 1 species
GGGUGAGUAACGCGUGGGUAACCUGCCUUAUACAGGGGGAUAACAGUCAGAAAUGGCUGCUAAUACCGCAUAAGCGCACAGAGCUGCAUGGCUCAGUGUGAAAAACUCCGGUGGUAUAAGAUGGACCCGCGUUGGAUUAGCUGUUGGUGGGGUAACGGCCCACCAAGGCGACGAUCCAUAGCCGGCCUGAGAGGGUGAACGGCCACAUUGGGACUGAGACACGGCCCAG